AGAGGAGCGGACUCAGCACACACCCCUGUGGGGUCCCAGUGGAUAGUUGUUGUCUACUGUAGCAGCAAUUUAAAAAAGUGUUGUCCUGGACUGUGUAUGUGUGCCGAGAGCAAUGGAAGUAAUCAGCGCCACAGUGAGGAGCAUUUAUAUGACAAUGAGCAUAAAGGAAUCUCUUUGAACUUGAAAGGAUCUUCUGAAAACUGAGGUAAAACUGUCUCAACAGCUAACCCGGCCGGUGAGCUGGUGGACAGUUAGUGUAGUGUACUAGAUUUAUAUUUACAGUGCCAACACGGGCGACCAAGAAGUAAAGGGAUCAGGAAUCUCAGCUGAUGGCUUAUUCUUGCAUGGGCAACGGAUUGUCAAGAGAGACGCUAUAUAAUAGGGCGCUUGCACUUGGUGAGCAAACGAUUAUUUAUGCAGUUCGAGAGGUGGAGUGGAAGCGGGAGCAAGAAACAAAGACUCGCCAACUCCAAGCACAGAAUCAACAAUGAAAGCUUCAUUUGCAAGCGGAAAAUAAACGUAUAAAGGAGCUGGAGGCAUUUCGGGUGAAGAGGAUGGAACAUUUGACAAAACAAACACAACGCAACUACGGACAAAAGAGUUGGGACACUUAUUAGGCCAAGCGCUAUGGAAAUUGGAUGGAUGGUUUAAGGAAGGCCCUUUUGCUGUUCCAGCCAGUACACAAAGCAAGCACUGGCCUGGAAACAAGCUUGCAGGCGGUCUAAAAAGAGCCUCUGUUGUCUGUUUUGACACAGCCUGCUUGCGUUUCUAAGCAAGAAAGUUCCCCAGCGGUAUCCAUCGAGAUGGCGUCCACAGGCAAACAAGUGGGAUGGCCUUCAGUGUAACCUCUUUGUAUAAGAACAAAGAAGUUCACCUUAAAAUGGAAAGGACACUACGAUGUGUGAAUA